UACGGAGGGUGCAAGCGUUGCUCGGAAUCAUUGGGCGUAAAGGGUGCGUAGGCGGCUCCUUAAGUCUGGUGUGAAAGUCCAGGCUUAGCCGUGGAAGGGCGCCAGAGACUGGGGGGCUGGAGUACCGGAGAGGAGAGUGGAAUUCCCGGUGUAGCGGUGAAAUGCGCAGAUAUCAGGAGGAACACCCGUGGCGAAAGCGGCUCUCUGGGACGGUACUGACGCUGAGACGCGAAAGCGUGGGGAGCAAACAGG
rnacentral:rRNA from 1 species